rnacentral:rRNA from 1 species
AACGGCCGUACCAUGCUGAAUAUACCGGUUCUCAUUAGAUCACCGAAGUGAAGCAUCAUUGGGUGCGGUCAGUACUUGGGUGGCUGACCACCUGGGAACACUGCGUGCCGUU